UACGUAGGUGGCAAGCGUUAUCCGGAUUUAUUGGGUGUAAAGGGCGUGUAGGCGGGAAAGCAAGUCAGAUGUGAAAACUCAGGGCUCAACCCUGAGCCUGCAUUUGAAACUGUUUUUCUUGAGUGCUGGAGAGGCAAUCGGAAUUCCGCGUGUAGCGGUGAAAUGCGUAGAUAUACGGAGGAACACCAGUGGCGAAGGCGGAUUGCUGGACAGUAACUGACGCUGAGGCGCGAAAGCGUGGGGAGCAAACAGG
rnacentral:rRNA from 1 species